AGCAGUGUAGCGCAGUGGUAAGGAGCAGGGCUCGUAAGCCAAAGGUUCCUGGUUUGAUUCCCCACUGGGGCACUGCUA
rnacentral:tRNA from 1 species